GGUGAGAUGUCCGAGUGGCUGAAGGUGCACGCUUGGAAAGCGUGUUUACAUUAAAGUGUAUCGAGGGUUCAAAUCCCUCUCUCACCG
rnacentral:tRNA from 1 species